rnacentral:rRNA from 1 species
GGGUCAGUAGGUUGGUCGUGUCACCGGUACGUACUGGUCUCACUGAUUCCUCCUUCCUGAAGAACCGUAAUGCCAUUAAUUUGGUGUUGCGGGGAAACAGGACUGUUACUUUGAAAAAAUUAGAGUGUUUAAAGCAGGCUAACGCUUGAAUACAUUAGCAUGGAAUAAUGAAAUAGGACGAUCGAUCCUAUUUUGUUGGUUUCUAGGAUUGACGUA